GCACCAGUGCAGCACAGUGGUAAGGCACAGGGCUUGCAACUGAAAGGUUGCUGGUUUGAUUCCCGACUGGGGCC